AUCCUUUUCUGGUUCAUAAGCAUGAUCAUUGGGUGUUCACAGGGCUGCGUGACAUGUGCCACCCUCAAACCUUGUUACACAUGUUUAUUACCUGUCUGACG